UACGGGGGGGGCAAGCGUUGUUCGGAAUUACUGGGCGUAAAGGGCUUGUAGGUGGCCAACUAAGUCAGACGUGAAAUCCCUCAGCUUAACCGGGGAACUGCGUCUGAUACUGGAUGGCUUGAGUUUGGGAGAGGGACGCGGAAUUCCAGGUGUAGCGGUGAAAUGCGUAGAUAUCUGGAGGAACACCGGUGGCGAAGGCGGCAUCCUGGACCAACACUGACGCUGAUGAGCGAAAGCCAGGGGAGCAAACGGG
rnacentral:rRNA from 1 species